rnacentral:rRNA from 1 species
AUUGAACGCUGGCGGCAGGCUUAACACAUGCAAGUCGAGCGGGGUGAUGGUGCUUGCACUAUCACUUAGCGGCGGACGGGUGAGUAAUGCUUAGGAAUCUGCCUAUUAGUGGGGGACAACAUCUCGAAAGGGAUGCUAAUACCGCAUACGUCCUACGGGAGAAAGCAGGGGAUCACUUGUGACCUUGCGCUAAUAGAUGAGCCUAAGUCGGAUUAGCUAGUUGGUGGGGUAAAGGCCUACCAAGGCGACGAUCUGUAGCGGGUCUGAGAGAAUGAUCCGCCACUCUGGAGCUGAGACGCGGCCCAGACGCCUACGGGAGGCAGCAGUGGGGAAUAUUGGACAAGGGGGGGAACCCUGAUCCAGCCAUGCCGCGUGUGUGAAGAAGGCCUUAUGGUUGUAAAGCACUUUAAGCGAGGAGGAGGCUCUUUUGGUUAAUACCCAAGAUGAGUGGACGUUACUCGCAGAAUAAGCACCGGCUAACUCUGUGCCAGCAGCCGCCGUAA